ACGGAGGGUGCGAGCGUUGUCCGGAAUCACUGGGCGUAAAGGGCGCGUAGGUGGCUCAUUAAGUGGUCGGUGAAAUCCCGGGGCUCAACUCCGGGGCUGCCGGUCAGAUUGGUGGGCUAGAGCACGGUAGGGGCAGAUGGAAUUCCCGGUGUAGCGGUGGAAUGCGUAGAUAUCGGGAAGAACACCAGUGGCGAAGGCGUUCUGCUGGGCCGUUGCUGACACUGAGGCGCGACAGCGUGGGGAGCAAACAGGA
rnacentral:rRNA from 1 species